AAUGAACGUUGGCGGCAUGGAUUAGGCAUGCAAGUCGGGGGAAUCCCAGCAAUGGGGGAACCGGCGUAAGGGGCAGUAAGGCAUGGGUACCUACCUUGGGGUUCGGGAUAGCCAUCAGAGAUGGUGGGUACUACCGGAUGACGUCGUGAGACCAAAGAUUUAUCGCGCUUAGAGGGGCCCAUGUGAUAUUAGCUAGUUGGUGGGGUAACGGCCCACCAAGGCGAAGAUGUCUAGCGGGUGUGAGAGCACGACCCGCGCCACUCGCACUGAGACACUGGCGAGACACCUACGGGUGGCUGGAGUCGAGGAUCUUCGGCAAUGAGCGCAAGCUUGACCGAGCGAUGCCGCGUGAGCGAUGAAGGCCUUCGGGUUGUAAAGCUCUUUAGUGGGGGAGAAAAGCCGCAAGGUGUGAUCUAUCCCAAAAAUAAGCACGGGCUAAGUUCGUGCCAGCAGCCGCCGUAA
rnacentral:rRNA from 1 species